rnacentral:rRNA from 1 species
GAUGAACGCUGGCGGCGUGCUUAACACAUGCAAGUCGAACGGAAAGGCGCGUUCCGGGCUACUCGAGUGUCGAACACGGGAGUAACACGUGAGUAACCUUCCCCUGACUUCGGGACUAGUUCAGCAAACGGGGGCUAAUACCGGAAAGGGAUCCUUGCUUGAAGGGGGGGGUUCGAAAGCUUCGGCGGUUUUGGAUGGACCCGCGGCUUAUCAGCUUGUUGGUGGGGUAACGGCUUACCAAGGCGUUGAUGCGUAGCCGGCGUGAGAGGGCGACCCGCCACACUGGGACUGAGACACGGCCCAGACUCCUACGGGAGGCAGAGGUGGGGAAUGGUGGAAGAUGGGGGGAAGCUUGAACAAUCGACGCCGCGUGGGUGAAGAAGGGCUUCGGGUGGUAAAACGGUGUUCUUGGGGAAGACCGCUUGUGGCAGGAGCGACGCUUGUGGUGACGGUACCUGAAGAAGAAGCACCGGCUAACUACGUG